GUGCUUGCUAUGGCAGCACAUAUACGUUCAAAUUGGAAUGGUAUAGAGAAGAUUAGCAUAGCCCCUGUGCACAGAUAACAUGCAAAUUUGUGGAGCAUUCCAUAUUUAA